GACGAACGCUGGCGGCGUGCUUAACACAUGCAAGUCGAACGGAAAGGCCUCUUUCGGGGGGUACUCGAGUGGCGAACGGGUGAGUAACACGUUAGUAACCUGCCCUUGACUUUGGGAUAACUUCUGGUAACUGGGGCUAAUACCGGAUAGGAGCUCCUUCUGCAUGGUGGGGGUUGGAGAGUUUCGGCGGUUGGGGAUGGACUCGCGGCUUAUCAGCUUGUUGGUGGGGUAGUGGCUUACCAAGGCUUUGACGGGUAGCCGGCCUGAGAGGGUGACCGGCCACAUUGGGACUGAGAUACGGCCAAGACUCCGACGGGAGGCAGAAGUGGGGAAUAUUGCAAAAUGGGUGGAAGCCUGAUGCAGCAACGCCGGGGGCGGGAUGACGGCCUUCGGGUUGUAAACCGCUUUCGCUCAUGACGAAGCUUUGUGUGACGGUAGUGGGUAAAGAAGCACCGGCUAACUACGUG
rnacentral:rRNA from 1 species